GGCAGAAGGGGGGGAGGCGUCACGAGGAGUUCGGCCUGGCCGCGCCUCUCGUCGGCCUCCGGGCCUUCGCCCUGGGGGCACAGCCCGCAACGCACCUCGGCCUUCCAUGCGCGCGCUGGGCUGCUCCCCGCUCCCCGCCUUCUUCCGGGCUCCGAGAGCAACGCAGGGAAGCUUCUAGGCGUCUGGGUAAGAAUUCUUUGUGCCCCCCUCCCUUGUUGCAGCUGCCCUGCCAGUAUUUAGUGAUGCUUGUCAGGUCCUGGGUACCAGGAAGGCACUGGAAACUGAAUUGCCCCUCCAUGCCCUCAAGUUGCUUGAAGCUGAACAGAGAUUGGACUUCUGUGUAAGUUGACUCAGUACAGAUUUUAUGGGAAAAGGCCAUGAGGAUAGAUGAAUUGCUCUGGAAUUGGGUGAGUCCACCGGAGGUCGUGUGUGAGCCAGUCCAGACCUAUAGAUUCGGCACGUGCGAAAGGCAAUUAGGAAUCUCAGUGAUAACUUGCCUAUGCUGGUACCUGGAACCCGAUAAGGAAAACAGAUACGAGCAUGCUAAAACAUCUUCUAAUUCCGUAAGCAGAUCGCUGAUAGGAUACUGCUGCCCUUAUAUUCUACCGACUCCAUCUUCACGCCCACCUAGUGCCCCUCCAGUAACCCAUCCAGCAACUGAGUACUUGACUUCUUUGUGAUUAGAGACUAGAGGAAUUAGGGCUAAUGAAGGCAAAUGAUUACUGCCAAAGUAUGUUUCAGAAAGUUGUAAAUGUCUCGGACUCCCAGAAGUGGAAAUUUGACAACCCUUAAAAUACAGCCGUGUACACUCAAAAGGAGUUGGGGUAGGGAUAGGGCUUCUGGUUUUACAAAGUGACUGUUGUUUGCAGGGCUAAGGAUGAAAUUCGGGGUCUUUUGCGCAUGCUAGGGAAAAUUCUACCACAUAGUCUCAUCUCCUACUCAGACAGACUGAUCUGACUGUAGAGAGAAAAGUAAGCUCUAGUAGGCCGUCACAACCUCACCUAAAAAAUAUCAACUCCACAGUACCUAAUAGACAGGCAGAAUGCACUUAAAUAUGCGUGUGUCUCUCAGUAUCAAUGGGAGAAUGCUUUCAGGACACCCUUAAUCCGAUUAACCGACUGGAAGACGGUCAGAUUCCUAGUAUAGGCUAUUUACAUGUGAACCUAUGCACACUCCAUGUACUUUAUAUUAUCUCUGCAUUAAUUAUAAUAACCAGUACAAUGAAAAAUGAAAUUGUGUCUUUGCCAGGCAUGAUAUGAUGGCCCACAUCCGUAAAUCUCAGUACAUCUGAGGCAGGUGUAGAAUUCCCCCCAAAAAGUUCUAAGUCAGCCCACUCUACACAUCCUUGACAGCCUUAGCUAGAAACCCCUUUUUUAAAGAAUGGGAUGUGUGUAUAAAUAGUUGUUGCACUAUAUUGCAUAAGUGUAAAAAUAAAGUCUACAUAUGUUCAGUACAAUUCCCCCAAAAUAUUUCCAAUCCAGUUGGCCUAAUCUAUGGAUUCAGAGAACCAACUGCUGUGCCAGGGGAAAUCAAAUUUAACGGUAGCUUUGAUAAAAGGUUUAACAGUUUUUGGGUGGAAUAUAUGAGUAGAGAUCAUAGGACAACCACAGAUAUCUAAAAACUUUCACCCUGAUUUUUUGGGAACAGUUUCUUCUUUAUCUAUCUCACAAUGGGAGCACUGAGAUUACUGACAUAAAUAUGCUCAACUUUAUGUGAGUUUGGGGGAUUCAAACUCAAGACCUCACAUUUAUUUAAAAAGUGCUUCCCCACUGAGCCAUCUUCAAAAGCUCUGUUCUUUUUAAAUUUUUAUUCCUGCUCAGUGGUUAAAAGCACUUGGUGCUCUUGCAGAUGAUCCACAUCCAGUCCCAGCACCCAUAUGAUGGCUCACAACUGUCAAGUGUCAGGGGAUGCAGUGCCCUCUAAGGAUGCCAGGCACACAGGUGGAACUCAUAAAUACAUGCAGGCAAAACACUCAUACAC
rnacentral:lncRNA from 1 species